GAUGAACGCUGGCGGCGUGCUUAACACAUGCAAGUCGAACGGACUUGUUAUGAAGCCUAGCGAAUAACAAGUUAGUGGCGGACGGGUGAGUAACGCGUGGGUAACCUGCCUUAUACAGGGGGAUAACACUUAGAAAUAGGUGCUAAUACCGCAUAAGCGCACAGUUUCGCAUGAAACAGUGUGAAAAACUCCGGUGGUAUAAGAUGGACCCACGUCUGAUUAGCUAGUUGGUGGGGUAAAGGCCUACCAAGGCUGCGAUCAGUAGCCGGACUGAGAGGUUGAACGGCCACAUUGGGACUGAGAUACGGCCCAG
rnacentral:rRNA from 1 species